AUUUCCUCAUGUUUUCAUUGUUCACUUAUUUAUAUCUUUUUCACAUGUUUGGAAGUCCUUUCCCUAACCCUCGAAAAGGCCUUUGUUUCCUUUCUUUCCAUGGGGUAGCUAGCCACAAGGUAGAUACUCAAUCCAUGAUGUUGGCUAAACAAUUGGUUUCUCCAUGGCCAGAGAAGACUUUUCUGCAAAGUUCUUUGGAUCUGACCACCCCUGAGCACAUAGAGUUAUUUAUACAAUGGUUUAUGAAGAAAACUGCUGCUUGUGUUUUUCCAUGGCUGAAGAGGCAGGAAAUUGAGCAGCAGUGGCCUAACUCAUGGAAACUCCACCCCAUGUACUGGCACCAUGGUAAUUUUGCUUAGUCUGCUUUCUGGGACUUGCUCAAACCUGUUAAGUUCUCACUUUAAAAACUUGCAGAUGCAUCCACCGAAUAUUUAUGCACUCACAUUCAUAUGCAAAGAAGUUGGUACUGAGAUGAGACACCUCAUCAAGAAGGCUUACAACUGACUUGUGACAGAUUUAUUCAGAUUUGCCUUCAUUCUCUCUUCUGGUCCUCCAGGAUCAUGGCCAUACACGUGCAGGGAUCCUCUCUGGGUUCAGAGCACAGUCUGGUCUGUGGGACCUGUGUACUGACUGGCAUUCACACAUGAAAACCACAGCCUAGGCCUCAUUAGCACAAUCUAAUCUACUGAGCUGAACAACCACAAAUAUGCAAACUCAAGAGGACUUUGGACGGCAAACAGGUGCACAUGCAUUUUGGCGCUGUGCGCAGAGUUUUUCGUAUGCUGUUUCGUUUGCUCUUCCCAACUGACCUAUUCCGUGGGGACAUUGAGGUCCAAAGAAUGUCUAUGACUAAACACAAUGAGUCAGUGGUAAGGAUUACGGAAAAUGCAUGUCCCAGGCAGCAUGCAAAUGACUUCAUCAUAUGUGGGUUUGGCCAUGUAAGAAGUUAAAUUAUCUCAGCAAUUUUGUGAACUUGACUUUCUUCAUGAUUAUCCCCCUUCCUGUGUGGCUGUCCCAAGAGAGCUGGUUGUUGAGUAAAGCUCUGUGAGAGCUAAGGAUGAGUACAGAUGCCUAAGAAACACUAUACCAGGGUGCAGAAUGUGCCGUGCUACAGAAUUUCCCUAAUGAAGGAAUUCAGGAAAAUUCUAAAGACUGUCAGAAAGUUUAAGUUCCAAAGUUUGUUCCUCCUCCCAGAAAAGUGCCUUUUUGGAUCUCACUUCAGAGGAAAGUGACAAAGCUUUUACAGUAAGUCCCUUAUCUCCUUUCACUUUUUAAAUCUUAAGAAC
rnacentral:lncRNA from 1 species